rnacentral:rRNA from 1 species
UACGGGGGGUGCGAGCGUUGUCCGGAAUCACUGGGCGUAAAGGGCGCGUAGGUGGUUUGAUAAGGGUGUGGUGAAAGUCCGGAGCUCAACUCCGGAUCUGCCGUGCCGACUGUCAAACUCGAGGGCUGUAGAGGCAGACGGAAUUCCGGGUGUAGCGGUGGAAUGCGUAGGAGAUCCGGAGGAAGACCGGUGGCGAAGGCGGUCUGCCUGGGCAGU